AGUCUAGAUUUCUGGCUUCUUUUGGAAAAAAAAAAACAACAGCAGAAAAUUUGGCAACACUGGGACUCCAUACAGGCUUGAAAAAAAAAUCUGUUGGUUUGGAGGCUACUUUACCUAUAACUGUCACUGGGGCCUGGGCUCUCUGGCCCCCAAGACCUACUGCCCAUUGCUCUAUACCCCUCACCCCAAGAAGUGUCUGUGCCUCCUGAUUUCCUUUAUUCUUUACAGUGCUUGUCUGACCCUUGUAAGUAUUUACAAUGCUGAGGGCUAUCCACACUGCCCUGAUUUUCCGGCGCAGGACAGCCCGACCCUGCGACGUGCCCCCCCACCGCCCCGCCGCCGCUCCCCAGACCAACAGAAAGUGUGGGCACCUGCACUGAACAUACCUCUCAGCUCCCUGAUCCUGGGAGAGAACGAUGGACCUGUGGCCUUGACCUCAGACCGGGAUGGGCCUGACACCAAAUGGGCUGGUUCAGGGGAGGAGUGAGCCUGAGCUUAACGCUGGCCGGAACAGUCUCUAAGGAAAACAUGGAGUAGGACACAGCUGAGCAAAAGUGCUGGCCCGGGGAAAAGAGAUCCCCAGUCAGCUCUGGAGGGUCCGCUGGGCAUGUGCUGCAGAGGGGGGUGGGGGCCACCAGAUGCAGAUGACAGUGCAAGGAGAGCUGACACCAGCACUAUGAAAUCCACAUUCCUGGAUGCAUGCGUGAUUAGGGUUCUGGGAAUAUAUUUCAAACAAAUUUAGAAACUACUCCUUGGGGUGCCUGGGUGGCCCAGUCGGUUGAGCGUCCGACUUCGGCUCAGGUCAUGAUCUCACAGUUGGUGAGUUCGAGCCCUGCAUCGGGCUCUGUGCUGACAGCUCAGGGCCUGGAGCCUGCUUCGGAUUCUGUGUCUCCCUCUGUCUCUGCCUCUCCCCCACUCAUGCUCUGUCUCUCUCUCUCUCUCUCUCUGAAAAAUAAAGAUAAACGUUAAAAAAAAAAAAAGAAACUACUCCUUUAAGACAGUUUUAACAGAGUCUAGGAAGCUGCCCAUCUUGAACCCUCAGUGGCGCUUAAAUGUGGGUCAGAAUUCCAGUUCAUCCACUUAUCAGCUGUGUGACCUUGGGCAAGUUAUUUAACCUCUCUGAGCCUCAGUUCGCUCAUCUAAAAUAUAUAGCUAUAAUAAUAUCUAUAAUGUCUAGAGCCGUGAAGAUUAGAAAUAAGGUACAUCAUCAGAUGCGAAAACAGUGACCAGGCACUUGGUGGACAAAUUGAGAGACAUAACCUAUUAUUGUUGUUAUUUUGCUAAAGCCUGGGAGGCACAAGCAACAGUUUGUCCACUUUUCUAUUUAUGUAUGUUGGGGUGCCUGAGGGCAAACUUGGUAUAUGGGAAAUUUUUUUUUUUCUUUUUAUUUUUUUUGGCAUGUGGGAAAUUUUAACUCCAUUACCCAGGAACACCGGUAAGGAUUUUGAAACAGAGUUCGCAAAGAGUCAGAAGUGAGACGCAGAUGUGAUGGGAAAAGUGGGGGAGAACUGGGGUCUCCCCCCCCAGCUCUGUCUCCAUUGCCAGGAUAGCCUCAGCCAGUCACUUUGCCUCGUUGGAUUUUGUUUCCUCAUCUGUGGAAAUCAGCUGGCAAGGUGUCAAUCAUCUAGAGCUGUGCCCUUCGGUACCAUGACACCAGCGACACGGGACUAUUUAAAUUUGAAUUAUUAAAAUUAAAUCAAGUUAAAAAUUCAACUCCUCAGUCACACUGGCUCUAUUUCAAGUGCUCAAUCAUCGCAUAUGGCUAGUGCUGACUGUGUUGGACAGCACAGAUACAGAACAUUUCCCUCGUCACAGAAAGUGCUAUCAGACAGGGCGGAAUUCAAGAGCUUGCUACCCAGUGCCUGUCCUCAGAUAAGCAGCAUCAGCCACCUGGGAACUUGCCAGAAAGACAAAGUCUCAGGUGCCAUUCUAGACCUUUAGGACCAAGAUCUGCAUUGUAACAAGGCUGCCCCAGUGAUCAUAGACUCAAGUUUAAGAUGCCCUGAUCUGUGAGAUUCCUUUUGGCUCUCAAAAUGAAAUUUAGGAAUCUGGGUCUCUGCUUGACAAAGUCUAUGGGAAAGAAAGGAGCAACUGACUUCUCCAAAUCUGGAUUCCCAGAUUCGCCUCAAAGGAAAGAAUUGGGGCCAUCCAAGGAAACUUUAACAGGACAUCAUACCUCUGCAGAAGAGGAAGGGAAUCAGCAGACUUCUAAAGGAGCCAUGGAAACAGCAGUGCUGGGAAGGCAGUGCAAUCUCACUCCUGUCGCUAUUCCUCCCUUGAACUUGGGGCAUCCAGUUGUUGCUUGAAGACCUUCAGAGAAUAGAAGUUCUCAAGUUCUCAUUUUUUUUUUUUUUUUUUUGUGGCCGCCAAAAAAAAAAAAAAAAACCAAAAACAAGAAAUGGGCUGCAUUUACUGGGCACUUUCUGUCCUGGUCGUCUUAAGGGGCUUGCUAAAACUCUCCUCGUCCAACUACACCAGAAAGGAGCUCAGGCAGAACUGAUAUUCAAGUAGGGAAAAUGAGAAACAGAUUGGGGAACAAAUCAAGGCCACGUUCAACAAUGACAGGAAGGGCAGACUGGACACCAGCUUGUGGACAUGUGGUCCCAAGCCCAGGUCUGUGGCUUAAACUAUAAAAUAAGAGAGGAUACACUCAAUCCUCUCACUGCAGAAAGUUUUGGUGUCUUUUGGUGAUGUGCUGUUUUCAGUACAAAAAUAAGGAGGAUAAUAUUAAAUCUGUUGCUCAUUAAGAAAACAUGCGCCUCUUACAGGACAAAAUUGCAGCUGUAUAUCUUAUUUAAUUGUUAUUAGUUUGUAUCACCCAAUGUUAAACUUUUAAUGUGUCCGUAAAUCUGUUUCUUACUGUCAGAGAAAUAUCUGUAUUAGGAAUACACUGUGCAAGAAUGAAGACGAGAGAAGGGAAAUAUGAGUCCAAAAUACACAUUAUUAAUUUUUUAGGAAGCCAGGAGAAGGGUGCCUCACGAAGCAUAUUAGAAAAAAAAAGCCAAAACAGCUGGGAUUUCUGAUUUGCUUGAGAGAAAAACCUGCUGAAUCGAGACGCAGCCUUACAGGGCCAUCUUCGGCAGGGGGAGAAGUGAGCAGGUAGAAAUGGGUUUGUGAUAUACAGGUCAACUCUUAAACAUGACGUCACUGGCAGAACGUGCCAUGCUUUUCCAGCAGACACACAAUGAGCUGAGUGUCCUGUCACAUAAGCUGGAGUCAUGGAAUCUGGCCAUGGCGCGGGGUGCAGGGAGCUGGACCGGGAGGCAGGGAGAGCAGGUCUGGACCCCACCACCGACUCUCUGGGUGUUCUGAGGCUCGGAUUUCCGCGAGCCUCUGAGCCUCGGCCUCUGUGUGAAAUGCAAAGAGCAUUUCUCUUUGGGGGCUUCAGGGAGAGAGAUGCUCUACAUAAAGUGAAUGGAAUGGGCCGUUAAUCCCUAUUAGUGGAUCAUUUAGACAAAUAAAGGUUUGGGGGUCAAACCCAAAGCUAUGGCAAAGAAAGUGAACAGGGACAUGGCUGGGAGGAGGGACAGCACUUCCGACCUGCUCUGAUGCAUCGUGUCCUGCCCACCUGCUCACCGCUGACAGCAGCUGUCCUCCCGUUCAGCCCACGAGGCAGCUGACUCUGGCUGGCAGUGCUGGGGAAGGUUCGGGGGCACAGGAGCCCUUUGGUGAUUUCCAGGGGUCAAAACAGAGUGGGAGAGGGGUCAGUGCAUGGAAGAACGACCAACCUCCAAACCAGCUUCCAAAUCUGAAAGGAGGCAAGCGUGCAGGAGGAAAGACCUCUGUCCUUUUGCUGGUCCCUGUUCUAACAGCUAUUCCAAUUCCCCUCUGGACAGCGUGAGAAUAUCCUCUUACGUGGGAUUCCGAAUCUCUAAAAAGGCCGGUCCCACAUGGUAAUCACCCUUCUUCAACACUUCAUUUGUCUCCAGGUCUCUUUUCUGUGCCGAGCGUUUCCCCUCACGUGACGGGAGCCGUACGCCCUCUACAUUAUUGUAGGAGAAACAUCCACAGAUACUUUCAUGCCAAUCAAGAAAGAAACGUCUCAAAUUGAUUUUAUAUCAUUCCAAAUGAACCCAAGACCGUCUGAGUGCAUCACAGACCUAAAGAUGCAUGACUGACAGGAUGGAAGCAGGCUCAUUAGCACCUUCAUUUUAAUCCUGCCAGAUCUGGGAAUAAAGAAAAGGUGAUCCGUUCAGUGACAAAACAUUCUUAUUUCCCUUGCAAGAUUCUCAGAGAGCAACUGCCCUCAGAGGGUAAGGGCGGGCUGGAGGGUGUGGGUAAGACACAACCGUUCGUUACAGGGCAGAGACACAAUGGCUUCCGUCCGGUGCCUCAUUUAGGUUUGGGUGCC